rnacentral:rRNA from 2 species
UUAGGUGUUGAUAAUAACGUUGAUCCACCCCUUACCAUUCCGAACAGGGAAGUGAAAUGCGUUGAUACUGAUGGUACUGCAAUUGUGGAAGAGUAAGUAAAUGCCAGCC